GUCUGCUCUCGCGAGAGUCGCCGACCCGCGUGGGUCCUCCGCGUUGCCGCGAGAGACUUCCUUCCUUUCCUCGUUGCCCGGCCAUCUUGGAGGGGCUCCUCUGGCAACGGCAGGGCCGACGUGAGCCGGCAAGAUGGUGGCCGCCAAGAAGACG